CCUACGGGAGGCUGCAGUGGGGAAUAUUGCACAAUGGGGGAAACCCUGAAGCAGCGACGUCGCGUGAGUGAAGAAGUACCUAGUGAUGUAAAGCUUUAUCAGUAGGGAAGAAAAUGACUGUACCUGAGUAAGAAGCUCCGGCUAACUACGUGCCAGCAGCCGCGGUAAUAUGGAGGGGGCAAGCGUUAUCCGGAUUUACUGGGUGUAAGGGGAGCGUAGUCGGCAGUGUAAGUCUGGAGUGAAAGGCGGGGGCUCAACCGCCGGACUGCUCUGGAAACUGUACGGCUUGAGUGCAGGAGAGGUAAGUGGAAUUCGUGGUGUAGCGGUGAAAUGCGUAGAUAUCACGAAGAACUCCAGUGGCGAAGGCAGCUUACUGGACUGUAACUGACGUUGAGGCUCGAAAGCGUGGGUAGCAAACAGGAUUAGAUACCCGAGUAGUC
rnacentral:rRNA from 1 species